CGCCUCCUCAGAGCGGAGAAAACCUCAAAGUAAAUGUCCGCUUUCUGAUUUAUUUCCAUUUCCCUCCGAGGGAAGUCGGGGCGUUUGUAAAGCGACUCCCGCGGCCGGAGUCUGAUGUAUCGCUGAGAGAGGGCGGUGAAGACUCAGUGAUCGUCCGCACGUAAAACAGAGGACGGCAGAUAUGUGGAGACCGAAGGGAUCGAGAAAAUGAGGAUCGGGCAGAAACACGUGGCUGAGAUGGUUCUCUGCAGUUCCUUGCGGUCAUGGGCAGAGCAGUAGCCAUACAAAGGCGUGAAGUAUCGACAAGGAGCUCAGAGACCUCGGCCUUCACCCUGCCUUGUGUAGCUGGAUCCUGGACUUCCUGUCAGAUCGCCGGCAGGUGGUAAGAGUGGGCUCCAUCUCCUCUGUCUCUCUGACCCUCAGCACACAUACCCCACAGAGUUGUCUCUUUGGCGCCCUCCUUUACUCUCUGUGCACCCAUGACUUGUGUUGCCACCCACAGCUCCAAUCUGCUAUUUAAAUUUGCUGACAACACUACAUUGAUUGUCCUAAUCUGAAAUACCGAUAACAAUCAAUCAAAUGCCUUCUGACAAGGCUCGGUCCAAACAAACUUUUCACCCUUCUUCAGGAGAUUGGUCAGAGGAAGAGCGAUAGCAGCAGAGUUCUUACGAUAAUAUCCAUCCAUUCCCAGAAACCUUCUAAGAGCCUUCUUAGCAGUCAGAAUAGGAACUUGAGAAAUUGCCUGGACUUUUGCCCGAACAGGAGCCAACUUCCUUUGACCUACAACAUAGCCAAGACAGGUCACACUGGCAUGGCCAAAUUCACUCUUAGCCAAGUUAACUGUAAGGUUGUCCUAGGAAAGCCUGUCAAAUAGCUUUUCUACUGCAGAGAUAUGCUCUUCCCAAGUGCCACUCCCUGUAACUACGUCAUCAAUAUAGGUAUCUGUGUGUUCUCACCCUCGAAUUACAAAAUCAAUCAUUCUCUGGGAUGCUCCUGGAGCAUUUUUCCUUCCAAAAGGCAAAACAUUGUAUUCAUACAACCCAGAUGCUGUCACAAACACAGAAAUGUCUCUACCUCUGUCCGUCAAUGGAACACACCAAUACCCUUUCAACAGAUCAAUCUUUGUAAGAUAUUAGCCAUUCCAACCUUAUCGAUGCAAUCAUCCACCCUAGGGAUAGGAUAGGCAUCAGUUUUUGUUACUGCAUUUACCUUUCUACAAUCAGUGCAAAAUCUAACACUACCAUCAUGUUUGGGCACAAUAAUGCAGAGUGACUCCAAUCUCAUUUUGAAGGCCUAAUAAUACCAUUCUCCAGCAUAUACUCAAUUCCCUGGUCAGCCAAUUUACACUUUUCGACGUUCAUGCGAAGUGGGUGUUGUUUAAUCGGUUUGGCUUGACCAACAUCUACAUCAUGUACUGCGACCGUGGUUUGCUUGGGAACAUCGGGAAAUAAAUCUUUGUACUUCAGAAUUAAUUCCUUCAGCUGUUGUUGUUGCUUUGGCUGCAGAUGAGCCAACUCGUUAUCAAUGUUUUCUAGAGCAACCGAGUUCAUUAGCCUAACUGGGACCAUGUUUGGCUUGUGAAAAGUCUCAGACGAGUCAAUUGUUUCAUUCUCAGGGUUACCAGAUUCAUUUGUUUUGACAACAAUACUCACAGAUGGUGCCUGCUUGUCAAAAAAGGCUUUAUCAUAUUUAUGUGCACCACCUCUGUUAGUUUACGUCAUUCGGGUGUUUUAAUAACAGAAUUCACAUUAUUAAUUUGAGAGACUAUCUCAUACGGUCUAUUGAAUUUCGCCUGAAGUGGAUUCGUCAACAUAAGGCAAGCACCUUAUCUCCCACCUGGUAUUUCUUUCGCGAGCCCUGUUAUCAAACCAACACUUCAUUUUGUUUUGAGAAAUCUUUAAGUUUUGUCUCGCUAGACUACAGGCUUGGUGUAGUUUAUUUUUGAACUUCAAAACAUAGUCUAACGAGUUAACAUGUACAUCCCCAUCAAUCCACGGUUCCUUUUAACAAGGUCAAAGGUCACUCUGCGACCAAAUACAAGUUCAAAUGGAGUAAAGCCCAGUGAUUCCUGUACUGACUCUCUUUCUGUGGACAAAAUCAAAUGUAUUCCUUCAUCUGGACAAAAGCAAAAGUAUCCCUUCAUCCCAGUCUUUUCCAUUUUCAACACAAUAUGUCUUAAUCAUUGUUUUGAGGGUAGAAUGAAAUCUUUCUAAAGCCCCUUCUGGUUC